rnacentral:snRNA from 1 species
GUGCUCGCUUUGGCAGCACAUACACUAAAAUUAGAACAAUACAGAGAAGAUUAGCAUGGCCCCUGUGCAAGGAUGACAUGCAAAUUCGUGAGGCAUUCCAUUAUUAU